rnacentral:rRNA from 1 species
UACGUAGGAGGCAAGCGUUGUCCGGAAUUACUGGGUGUAAAGCGCGUGUAGGCGGCAGGCCAAGUCUGUGGUGAAAUCGCUCGGCUCAACUGGGCGGGGUCCAUGGAAACUGGUCAGCUGGAGGACGGUAGAGGUGAGUGGAAUUCCCGGUGUAGUGGUGAAAUGCGUAGAGAUCGGGAGGAACACCCGUGGCGAAGGCAAUUCACUGGCGCAAAUCUGACACUGAAACACGAAAGCGUGGGUAGCGAAUGGG